rnacentral:rRNA from 1 species
UACGAAGGUGGCAAGCGUUACUCGGAAUUACUAGGCGUAAAGGGCAGGUAGGUGGCCCGAUAAGUCUGUUGUGAAAGCUCCCGGCUCAACUGGGAGAGGUCAACAGAUACUGUCGGGCUUGAGUAUGGGAGAGGGUACUGGAAUUCCUGGUGUAGCGGUGAAAUGCGCAGAGAUCAGGAGGAACACCGAUGGCGAAAGCAGGUACCUGGACCAUUACUGACACUCAGCUGCGAAAGCUAGGGGAGCAAACAGG